UAAGGAAUAUUGGUCAAUGCCCGGAAGGGUGAACCAGCCAUCCCGCGUGAAGGAUGAAGGGGCUCUGCCUUGUAAACUUCUUUUGAAUGGGACGAAAAAGCCUCACUUGUGAGGAACUGACGGUACCAUUAGAAUAAGCACCGGCUAACUCCGUGCCAGCAGCCGCGGUAAUACGGAGGGUGCGAGCGUUAUCCGGAAUCACUGGGUUUAAAGGGUGCGUAGGCGGCUGUAUAAGUCAGUGGUGAAAGGCUGUGGCUUAACCAUGGGAUUGCCAUUGAUACUGUACGGCUUGAAUUAGGAUGAGGUUGGCGGAAUGUGACAUGUAGCGGUGAAAUGCUUAGAUAUGUCAUGGAACAUCGAUUGCGAAGGCAGCUGACUGGACCUUAAUUGACGCUGAGGCACGAAAGCGUGGGGAGCGAACAGGAUUAGAUACCCUCGUAGUCCCUGAGCGGGCUGGCAAGGCGCAU
rnacentral:rRNA from 1 species